AUAUUGUAAAACCAAUAUUUUUAUUCAGUUUUUGUUCGAUGUACUAUGUUUGAAAUAAAUACAACGUUGUACGCUAGUAAACAUACUCAUUAUACAUUAUAGAAAUAGUACUACCCAUAAUAUGGACCAUUAAUAAUAUGACAAUAACUCCGAUACCCCGAUCCCGCUCCAUCCACGUGAUUCAGAUUAUUUGUGAUAAUUGUGAGAUAUUUUUAUCACAAUAUAUGUUUUCAAAAUAUUUUGCAACUAUUCU